rnacentral:tRNA from 1 species
GGCAAGAUAAGCUAAAAAAGCUCUCGGGCCCAUACCCCGACUACGCAUGUGAAACCCAUGCUCUUGCCG